rnacentral:misc_RNA from 1 species
CAGCAUGGGCUCGCUUAUACUUAUUACGUCAACGCGCCAAUCCUGCGGUCAGCACUGUCAGCAGCGAUAAGUACGGUCCGCGCAGCGGUUCUGCUUCUGGCACUCUCGCAGACUCGGUACUCUUUAGUGGGCAUUCGGAGCGCGCAGCGAGCACAUCCACACGCUACACGCAGUAGUUGGCUUUCGACGACGACGCGCGGCUUCUUCGAGUGCUCGAGUUGGGGCGCUUAUACUUAUAUAGAACGAGUCGUCAUCGUUGCACUUGUCGUGUUGCUGCUGCUGCUGCAUAUUAAAAAUCGUACGAUACGUAUGCACAUAACGACGACAGUAUCGCGUACAGUCGCAGUCGUGAUCGUCUACUCCGCAGUAGUGACCUUUUACAAUUUCGAGCCUACGACGUUUUGUGCGCGCGGUAGAUCGAGCCAGUGACACACGACGAAUAGGAUAUUAAUUCACGCGAAAUCAAAGUCAUGUUUCGAACUCGUUGAAAAGUGAGCCAACGAUUCGCCGUGCAUCGAUGUCGCAAUUCCUAUGAGAUACAAUUGUUAAUGCGACAGAGCGCGAAUUUAUUUUUCUCGUCGUUCGUUUGGACUGGCUCUUGUCCUGAUAAGUGCGCGGCUUUGCAGUCAUAAGAAGAGGUUAAAAGCGCAUAAAGAUUAGAAGAAAAUCUCGGGCAUUAUUCGCCGAUAACAAGUCUACCCCGCAGCAAGUCUGAUCUCUGCGCGCGUGUAAAACACGCGCACAUCAGCCUCUUAUCGUACCGACUGUCUGCAACUUGGAGCAGAUAAUAGACGUUGCGCGAAUAUUUUCACGUGGACAAACAUUGUAAUAUCAGUCGAGGAGGUUCUUCGUACGAAGCGAUAAAGUAGCCACUUUUCAAGAGCAACGUUUUUGUUUACAAACAAGCACUUGAUCGAGUGCUGCAACACCUCAUCUCGAGCAACGAUCCGACGAUUGGAAAAUUUGAACUGCUGUGCUUGUUUUUACUAGAGCCGAGUGUAUAUGCUGUCUGCAACGAUGUCUACCGAGAACACAGUGAACGAUAGGCACUACUUGCCGCCCUCGUCCGACACCAUACAGACCAAGCCAUUUCCCAUUCGAGGCGAGCGUCAAAACACCGUGAACAAGAAGCAUGUGAUCGCCAUGGUGGGUCUGCCGGCGCGCGGCAAGACCUACAUCUCGAAGAAGCUCUGCCGCUACCUCAACUGGAUCGGCAUCAGCACGAAGGUCUUCAAUCUCGGGGAGUAUCGUCGGCACGCGACCACGGCCUACCAGUGCCACGACUUCUUCCGACCCGACAACACCGAGGCCAUGGCCAUCAGGACCCAGUGCGCCAUGGACGCCCUCAAGGACGUCUGCAACUGGCUGGCCGACGAGGGCGACGUGGCCGUCUUCGACGCGACCAACUCCACCUUCGAGCGUCGACAGCUCAUCAAGGAGAUCGUCGUCGAUCAGUACGAUUACAAGCUCUUCUUCGUCGAGUCUAUCUGCGACGAUCCGGAAAUCGUCGAGCAAAACAUCAUGGAGGUGAAAGUCAGUAGUCCCGACUACACCAACAUGAACAAAGAGGAGGUGCUGGCGGACUUUAUGCUACGCAUCGAGCAUUACCAGGAAAAGUAUCAGCCCCUCGACGAAAAGUACGAGCAGAAUCUGUCCUUUAUGAAAAUCUACAACACCGGCGAGAAGGUCCUGGUGCACAAGCACGAGGGUCACAUUCAGUCGCGCAUCGUCUACUACCUCAUGAACAUACACAUCGUACCGAGGACGAUCUAUUUGACUAGGCACGGAGAGAGCCUCAUGAACAUCGACGGCUGCAUCGGUGGCGACUCAUGCCUCAGCGAUCGCGGCCACGAGUACGCCAAAGCUCUCGGCGACUACAUCGAGGGACAAAACAUUCAAGGCUUGAGGGUGUGGACCAGUUGGCUAAAGAGGACCAAAGAGACUGCCAUUCACCUGAAAGCACCCCAAGAGAGGUGGAAAGCCCUCAAUGAAAUUGACGCCGGUAUCUGCGAAGAAAUGACAUACGAAGAGAUAUCAAAAAAGUAUCCGGCCGAUUUUCUUGCAAGGGACCAAAACAAAUUUUCUUAUCGCUACCCAAGAGGUGAAAGCUAUGAGGAUUUGGUUGCUCGCCUCGAGCCUGUCAUUAUGGAACUUGAACGUCAAGGAAACGUUUUAGUUAUCAGUCAUCAAGCAGUUCUACGCUGUUUACUCGCCUACUUCCUCGACAAAAAUGCCGAUGAGUUGCCAUAUCUGCAAGUGCCUCUACAUACGAUUAUAAAAUUGACACCAGUUGCUUACGGAUGUAAAAUGGAAAACAUAACGUUGCCUAUCGCUGCAGUGGAUACCCAUCGACCGAAACCAAAGUGAGAACCGAAUAAUACAGAGGCUUUUGGUACUUCAAGGUGACGAUGUGAAAUUAUUGCAUCGAACAUUAAAACUUCCGAAUAUUGCAGGCUAUCUCGAGGAUCGUUUUAAGCAAAAUAGCAAAACUCAAUUAACACGAUAACCGAUGAAGUAUGAAGUCAGUUUCUAUGAACAGUUUGAGAUGCUGAAAAUGACACCAGACCACAAGAUUCUGAAGAAAUAAAUUUUAUUUGUGGAAUUAAAGGAACGUUAUAUAACCAUUUAGCAGCUGGCUGCUUUGUAUGACCCUCUGCAUAAGAGUAUCAAUCCUUUUUUAGGAGAAAAAAUUAUUAUUGCAGUGGUUUUUUCGUCAUUACCAAAAUUAACGUCUCCGAAAUUCAUAAUAUCGUGAAUAAUUUAGCGAAAUUGUAUCUCAUAAUUUUUGUCCAUUUAGAUACAACUUUGUUACACGAAUUCGCAAAAUGCAGUAAUGUUUGUACGAGGUAAAAGAGGUAAAACUGAUGAAAAUAUUAGUAAUUCCUGUUGGAAAUCUUCCAAGGGUACAUUUUUUCUUAUGUGUAUGUCCUGUUUGAGUGCGACUAUUGUGAUUUUUAUUAUCUUUAAUAUUCUUAAUCGUAGUAUACAUAAAUUAAAUUACCUUGAAAAGUAUAAAGAGCGUUUUUAAAAAAAAUGCUAAGAAUUUUCGUUUUUGUUUUUUUAUAAAAAAUAGAAAAAUAGUAGAAAGUGUAUUCAAUUCCAAACUUGAGUCUGUUAAUGUUGGAAUAAUUUCACCAGGUUUUAUAAUUAUUUAAUAAUUAUAAUUUGAAUAAAAACUAUGUACGUGGGCCAAAAAUCAACGUUUAAAGGACAAUUAAUUUAGUUAUUUCAUAAGACUAAAUAUAGUUUGUUUCUUUUUUUUUUGUAUUUAUGAAGAAUAUUUAAGUUUCAGGAAAUUGAUGUUUCUGGUAUAUUCAGUUUUUUAUUUUUAUUUUAUGAAGAUAUUAGCUAUUGCCAAAAAAUUUAUUGUUUGCUCAUAUAUUACUGUGAUUUCUGGUAUUAUUUAAACUUACCAUUUCUUGUACAAACCAGAAUAUAAAUACUUUAAAAUUGAAUUUUGCAUGGCUGUAAUAGUAUUAAUAGAAUAAAAAUAACUUCAUUUGAUUAAAAAUGAAUCUUAAUUAUUCAUCUGAAACAGUAUAAUGAACAAUAAACGCUCACUUAAAUCUA